rnacentral:lncRNA from 1 species
UUGGAAGUGUGGUUGGACCCAGCUGUUCUCGACGUGUGGGCGUCUUCCGGGCGUCGUUUAGAGACGCCUGAGGUUGAGCCCGGCUCCAGAAUGUUAAUGCUACUGCAGCAGAUGUAAUGCCGCGUGUGGUCGGUCUCGGUUCUGUGUCGGAAAGCGGUGCUUAGCAGUCACCCCAAAGGUUUGAUGUUCGGCUGGUUGGUUUUGCGGUACUGGGGAUUGAACCCAAGGCGUUCACACUGAGCUGCAUCGCCAGCCUUUUUUAAUUAAUUAAUUAAUUAAUUUAUUUAUUUAUUUAUGAAACG